rnacentral:rRNA from 1 species
UUUUCAGUGUCGCGGCGAAAGCAAUAAACACACCGCCUGGGGAGUACGACCGCAAGGUUAAAACUCAAAUGAAUUGACGGGGACCCGCACAAGUAGUGGAGCAUGUGGUUUAAUUCGAAGAUACGCGCAGAACCUUACCAACACUUGACAUGUUCGUCGCGAGCCUAAGAGAUUAGGCUUUUCAGCUCGGCUGGACGAAACACAGGUGCUGCAUGGCUGUCGUCAGCUCGUGUCGUGAGAUGUUGGGUUAAGUCCCGCAACGAGCGCAACCCUACCUUUUAGUUGCCACCAUUUAGUUGGGCACUCUAAAGGAACUGCCAGUGAUAAGCUGGAGGAAGGUGGGGAUGACGUCAAGUCCUCAUGGCCCUUAUGUGUUGGGCUACACACGUGCUACAAUGACACUUACAGUGGGAAGCUAAGUCGCGAGGCUAAGCUAAUCUCUAAAAUGUGUCUCAGUUCGGAUUGCACUCUGUAACUCGAGUGCAUGAAGCUGGAAUUACUAGUAAUCGCGGAUCAGCGCGCCGCGGUGAAUACGUUCCCGGGUCUUGUACACACCGCCCGUCACACCAUGGAAGUUGGUUACACCUUAAGGCAAAUCGUCAACCUUCGGGAGACAUUUGACUACGGUACGAUCAGCAACUGGGGUGAAGUCGUAACAAGGUAGCCGUAGGGGAACCUGCGGCUGGAUUACCUCCUU